rnacentral:rRNA from 1 species
AUUGAACGCUGGCGGCAUGCCUUACACAUGCAAGUCGAACGGCAGCACGGGUGCUUGCACCUGGUGGCGAGUGGCGAACGGGUGAGUGAUACAUCGGAACGUACCUUAUCGUGGGGGAUAACGCAGCGAAAGUUGCGCUAAUACCGCAUAAGCCCUGAGGGGGAAAGCGGGGGACCGUAAGGCCUCGCGCGAUUAGAGCGGCCGAUGCCUGAUUAGCUUGUUGGUGGGGUAAAAGCCCACCAAGGCGACGAUCAGUAGCUGGUCUGAGAGGACGAUCAGCCACACUGGGACUGAGACACGGCCCAGACUCCUACGGGAGGCAGCAGUGGGGAAUUUUGGACAAUGGGGGCAACCCUGAUCCAGCAAUGCCGCGUGAGUGAAGAAGGCCUUCGGGUCGUAAAGCUCUUUUGUCAGGGAAGAAACACCGGCUCUAACACAGUCCGGGAAUGACGGUACCUGAAGAAUAAGCACCGGCUAACUACGUGCCAGCCGCCGCCGUAA